GACGAACGCUGGCGGCGUGCCUAAUACAUGCAAGUCGAACGCAGUGGGGACGGGGGAGUAACACGUGGGUAACCUCCAAUCAGAGGGGAUAACACUUGGAAACAGGUGCUAAACAGAGAUUGAUGGAUGGACCCGCGGUGCAUUAGCUAGUUGGUGAGGUAACGGCUCACCAAGGCGACGAUGCAUAGCCGGCCUGAGAGGGUGAUCAGCCACACUGGGACUUAGACACGGCCCAGACUCCUACGGGAGGCAGCAGUCGGGAAUCUUCGGCAAUGGUCGAAAGUCUGACCGAGCCACGCCGCGUGAGUGAAGAAGGUUUUCGGAUCGUAAAGCUCUGUUGUUAGAGAAGCGGUAUCUAACCAGAAAGCCCCGGCUAACUACGUGCCAGCAGCCGCGGUAAUAC
rnacentral:rRNA from 1 species